rnacentral:rRNA from 1 species
AGGUAAGCUACUAAGAGCGAAUGGUGGAUGCCUUGACUGGUAAAGGCGAUGAAGGACGUACUAGACUGCGAUAAGCUACGGGGAGCUGUCAAGAAGCUUUGAUCCGUAGAUUUCCGAAUGGGACAACCCAAUGUAUAGAGAUAUACAUUACCUAUAUAGGAGCGAACGAGGGGAAUUGAAACAUCUUAGUACCCUCAGGAAAAGAAAUCAAUAGAGAUUGCGUCAGUAGCGGCGAGCGAAAGCGCAAGAGGGCAAACCCAGUGCUUGCACUGGGGGUUGUAGGACUGCAAUGUGCAAGAGCUGAGUUUAGCAGAACAUUCUGGAAAGUAUAGCCAUAGAGGGUGAUAGUCCCGUAUGCGAAAAACAAAGCUUAGCUAGCAGUAUCCUGAGUAGGGCGGGACACGAGGAAUCCUGUCUGAAUCCGGGUCGACCACGAUCCAACCCUAAAUACUAAUACCAGAUCGAUAGUGCACAAGUACCGUGAGGGAAAGGUGAAAAGAACUGAGGUGAUCAGAGUGAAAUAGAACCUGAAACCAUUUGCUUACAAUCAUUCAGAGCACUAUGUAGCAAUACAGUGUGAUGGACUGCCUUUUGCAUAAUGAGCCUGCGAGUUGUGGUGUCUGGCAAGGUUAAGCAAACGCGAAGCCGUAGCGAAAGCGAGUCUGAAUAGGGCGCUUAGUCAGAUGCUGCAGACCCGAAACGAAGUGAUCUAUCCAUGAGCAAGUUGAAGCUAGUGUAAGAACUAGUGGAGGACUGAACCCAUAGGCGUUGAAAAGCCCCGGGAUGACUUGUGGAUAGGGGUGAAAGGCCAAUCAAACUUCGUGAUAGCUGGUUCUCUCCGAAAUAUAUUUAGGUAUAGCGUUGUGUCGUAAUAUAAGGGGGUAGAGCACUGAAUGGGCUAGGGCAUACACCAAUGUACCAAACCCUAUCAAACUCCGAAUACCUUAUAUGUAAUCACAGCAGUCAGGCGGCGAGUGAUAAAAUCCGUCGUCAAGAGGGAAACAACCCAGACUACCAGCUAAGGUCCCUAAAUCUUACUUAAGUGGAAAACGAUGUGAAGUUACUUAAACAACCAGGAGGUUGGCUUAGAAGCAGCCAUCCUUUAAAGAAAGCGUAAUAGCUCACUGGUCUAGUGAUUUUGCGCGGAAAAUAUAACGGGGCUAAAGUAAGUACCGAAGCUGUAGACUUAGUUUACUAAGUGGUAGGAGAGCGUUCUAUUUGCGUCGAAGGUAUACCGGUAAGGAGUGCUGGAGCGAAUAGAAGUGAGCAUGCAGGCAUGAGUAGCGAUAAUUAAUGUGAGAAUCAUUAACGCCGUAAACCCAAGGUUUCCUA